GAUUUCCGAAAAUACCAUCUAUCAGUAACUAGUCAGAUUUCAAUAAGAAAUAUACAGAACAGUAUAAGGCCAGGGUUCCACCUUUGGCUAUUUCUUCCAAGAACUACUAGUCAGUAGCGCGUUGAUAAAUUGGUGUGUAAUAUUUAACAGAUCGAUCGGCAAUUGUUUGCGAGUGACCGUCAUAAACUUAUUAUAUACCGAGACAGCAUUCCAGCAAGCAGAUCGUGUUAUGGGACCAUAGUGCAUGCACCAACCACUGUUCUUUAAUGAAGGAGAAAGAAAGAAAACAGGAAUUUGUCUUGCAACAAGCUGGCUUCUUAAAGAGAAAUCUAGUGCAGGAACUAAUCACAGGAAACAAAAUUAUUCAAUGAAAUAUAUCAAAACGGAGCAGUAUGGCAUAGUAGUUCGCACAGGUGCCACUAGCCGGCUCCACCAUACUCUAUUGAGAGAACCACUUUUAAAAUUGCUCACAAAGGGCUUUUVAUGUUAAAAUGGCAUAAUAAUGUAUAUCUCGACUCUUUUUCUUGCCAAGGAUAAUACAUAAAAUUCCAACACCACUAGGGUAUGGACAGAACCGGAAGCAACUACGGUACGCUCUUUUGCCGCGCCCACUGUGACUUUUCCGACAAUAUGCAAAUUAGAGACACUAAACAACUUGCCAGUGAAGCUAGAAUAACCUACUGGACUCUGUAGGAAUCGAAUUUAGUAUACUAUUCUGYAUAUUUCUUAUUGAAAUCUGACUAGUUGUUUGUAAAGAAACACGAACUGUGCAUGUCGACUGGUACUGAUAGAUGGUAUUUUCGGAAAUCGGUUGCAUAAAACAAGCCAACGCCACGGUUGCCAAUUCUAAUUUCUCGAUAACUCCGAUAAAUAGAGCAACUGAAAAGACCUUUCCGUGUUGAAGAUCUGUGUAUGGUACAUGAAGUAGCAAUCAAGAUCCACUAAUAGAGGUUGCACUCUCUUGUUUACUUACCCCAUAGGACGAGGCAUUGUGUAAAGGUAUCAAGCCUCCCUUGUCUUGUGCAUUCACAUCAGCUCCAUGUUCCAGUAAGUACUCUGCAACAUCAAGAUGGUUGUAUCCAGCUGUUGAGAAAAUCAAAUCAAAUCUUAAUCUAAAAAUUGUUAAUGCUGAGUAUUUCAAGAAGGGUUACAAAACAGCCCCGCAUGACUUAUUACAUGCAUUGGCAAUGGCAUGCAUCGGCGAUGGCAUGCACUGCUACAGCUCUGCCUCUUACAUCUGUACAUGCAGUUCAAACCUGGGAUUAAUGCAGGUUUAAUUCCCAGCUGAGCCACAUAUGAGUUGAGUUUGUUUGAUGUGUUGUUCUCACCCUUGCCUCAAGGGUUUUUCUUCGGGUUCUCUGGUUUUCCUCCCUCCGUUAAAAUCAACAUUGAGUGUUGUGCAUU